UACGUAGGGUGCGAGCGUUAAUCGGAAUUACUGAGCGUAAAGCGUGCGCAGGCGGUGAUGUAAGACCGAUGUGAAAUCCCCGGGCUUAACCUGGGAACUGCAUUGGUGACUGCAUUGCUGGAGAAUGGCAGAGGGGGGUGGAAUUCCACGUGUAGCAGUGAAAUGCGUAGAGAUGUGGAGGAACACCGAUGGCGAAGGCAGCCCCCUGGGCCAAUACUGACGCUCAUGCACGAAAGCGUGGGGAGCAAACAGG
rnacentral:rRNA from 1 species